ensembl:ncRNA Y37E11AL.15 ncRNA
AACUAACACAUAUUUCAUUGUCCUCUUGGUACAAUCUCUUUUUUCCUCUUUUUCCUACUUCCCGGCUUCUUCGGGAAAUUUUGGGCCUCCAAGAUUUCCCAGGAUCCCCUGGGGAACUGAACGCUUCACCGG